GGUUCCAUGGUGUAAUGGUCUGCACCAUGGACUUUGAAUCUGGUGAUCCGAGUUCAAGUCUUACUGGAACCU